AUUAAUAUAAGAAAUAACACAAUAUUUCAAUACAAAAAUAUAUCAAAGUGUACUAUAGUUUUACAAACUAAAUUGAAAUGUCAUUCACUUCAACCAUUACGAUUACAAGAAACUUCAAAUCUUGCUUGAACUUCAAAUCACUACAAAAACUUGCUUAAACUUCAAAUCACUAGCAUCCAAACUCAAGAUAGGAUCUGCAACAGUUCAUGAAACUCAGCGGAUUUCACUACGAUAUCACCUGGCUGCAAAGAGAAAUACACAAUAAGCGACUUCAUCCAAACUCAAAACAUGGAUGAAUAUAGCAUACUUGAUGAAUUUAGUACUACCAGCCAGUUAAGUUAUAUGGUGGAAUAAGACAUGUUAGUUGACAAGAAUAUAUUACAACAAUAACAACAUAAUACACAGUGAAAUUUCACAAGCGGGUUUGGGAAAGGUAGAAUAUACGCACAAGUAAUGACUUAUCCCCAGUUACGCUUGUCAGGGAGCAAAAGGAAAACAAUUACUAUUGUUUAUGUCCAGCCAAAUAAUACAACUUACAGAGUUAAGAGCCUGCUCAAGAAAUACAUCAGUAGCUACCUUUUUGUGUAACUCAAACCAAUUGGGUCUGCGAUGGCCACAAGCCACUACUCCCCUGUACUAAUUUUACUUUUUAAUGAAAUGCUUCAUAUUUCCUUACCAAAAAAAAAGUAACAACAAAUGGGUCCUAGUUAGAUAAAGUCUAAAGAUUAAUUCAUUGGGAAAAGAAAUUAAUUAGUAAUAUCUAUAUGGCUAGAUCUCACAUUAGUUGUACACUGAAAUGUACCUCUAAUCCUUAAUUCUUUGAAGUAUCAAAGUUCCAGAGAAAAAGAUUUUACUUACCAAUGCCAACCACCUUGCUAUGCCUAUAUAACAUAAUUAUAGGUGCAGUAAGUUCUCAAGACAAUGUAAAAUAUUCAUUAAACAACACCAACAACUAUAUAAAAGCUAUAACUUGAAAUGUAAAAGUCCAACUAGUGAAUUAGAAAAUACCAGUUACUAUUCAGAUGAUCAAUUAUAAUUUUUUGAAAAGGCACAAUUACUAAAAAUAAUGUGACCUCUCAAAACUGAACAUGAGUCUAAUGAUGCUUAGGAUUGGGUCUGUUGGGAGAAAUUGAAUUUUGCUUGCAAAAAGAGUCCACUGGCCAUCCAAGAUGUAAUCUUGGCAAUAAUCUUGUCCACUAAGGGUUUAAUUGGACUAUUGUAAGCCUUUUAGGUGUCGUUUAAUACAAAGAUUAAUAAUGUAGGGAUUAGUAAUGCAAGGUUCCUUAGUAAAAUUGUUUGGCACACCUAGAUAUUUGAAACAGAGUUCUCCAACCUCAUAUCCAAGCAUAGUCAAGAUGGUUUCCUUAGUAAAUUUGUUAAUACCUUCAAAACAUACCUGACUUUUCAAAAUGAUGGUCUUCAAAUCAGAAGCAUCAGAAAACAUAUUGAAUUUACCCCUCGAUAGUUGUAGUUGUAUAGAUCUGACAUCUCAUCUAGUAAAUAUAGUAAGUCAACAGCAACAAAGUACUGAUUCAAAACUGAUGUCAACAUCUAGAUGGAAAAAAAUGUUUCAUCAAACUUUCUUAGUUGUAAAUCAGCACAACUACAAAGAAAAAAGACAUUCUUGCAACUCUUCCAAAUCUGUUUGGGUUAAAGGAAUUUUGCAUUUAACUAUCAUUCCAUCUUCACUAACUAUCUAAAGGACAAAAUCAAAUAAAAAAAUACAAUAAACUCACAAGAUUUGUAGAGCGUCGCAGAACUUGAGCGAGUUGUGCAUGACUGCUUAUAAGAGCUUUUAUCUUCUUCAACAAUGCAGCCACAAAUAUUGACACUAUAGCACGAAAAAAUAGUGCAAACUGUCUUAAAGAAAGAUCUCAUCAGAAAAAUGAGAACCAAAUUUAAAAAGAAUAGCUGAAAAGUAGAUGAAACUUACGGAAAUAGCUGGGAAUAUAGACGAAAUCAGGUUCAGUAAUGUGGGAGGAGAUAGUGGUGGGAGUGACGUCUUUGGGAUCGGUGGCAAAAGGGAUGGUUGGGUUUGGGGACAAUUCCAGUUGUUGGGGAUGAUCGUAACAUGUAUACUCAAUAUACUCGAUAUGGUUAGUCAAUCGAUAAAGUGAAACAACCUUAUGGUGCUACUUCUAAUCCUACACAGGCUGAUGACGCGACAAGAAAGAACAGUUCAUCAUCAAACAAGUUGAAAACACCACAUUUCUCCAAUAUCACCACCUUAUAACAUAGAAACAAAUAUCAUAUCUCUCAAAUUUACCAGAUUCACUUACAACUAACAAAAAUCAAUUAAGAAGUUAAUCUAUCCAACCAAAAAAUCAAUUACUAGCAAGUUAUUCUCUAUGUAAACCUUAUUUAAUUAGAUUAUCCAUAUUGAAACCCUAAAGAAUCGAAGUUUAGGGGAAAUCCAAAAAGUACAAUAGUUAUAAACCUUAGAAAGAGCUGAAGCUUCUCCAUGGUGCAGGACGUAGGGCAACGAGCCUAUUGGAGCAUUCUUUUACUCCAAAAUCGGCGAAGAUAUUGCAGAUUUUCUGAAACUAAAAUAGAUUCAAAAUACAAAUCUCAAAACUUUUUACAAACAAUUUGAAGUUGAGAAAAAAAAAAUCAGUUGAUUUAUAGAUUGAAAAUGCAUGAAAAUGAGGAAAAGAGAACUCAUUUUUGAAGCUUUCGAUGUCUAAAUUAAGGAGCAAUUGUUAAAUAGAGAGAAAUUGGGAAGUAAGAGAGGAGAAGAGAAGUAUGAACCAACGAUACCGCCAAUCGCCACCGCCGCCUCCAUCUUUUCCUACUCCGACCACUGUUAUUGUGGAUGAAGACAGUGAUAGCUCCGCCACCAUGGAUUCGCCACCGUGCCGCCUCCAUCACUUCCUACUCCAACCCUAAUUAUCAUAUGAAAAUUGAUCAGUUCGGGAUCGCAGAAAAUAGAAUGAAACUUUUUUUUAUUUGGGGAUUAAAUGAGCAACGAUAUAAAAUUUUAUUUUUUAGGAUAGCGGCGGGUAAUAACCCCACAAAUUCUACUAAAAUUAUAGGGGUUAAUCAAACCUCCGUAAUUUGAUGUAAUUUGUGGGGGUUGAGUUAACCUCCAUUAUAAAACCUCUAGGAUUUAAGUGUUUUUUUGUAGUGGAU
rnacentral:lncRNA from 1 species